GACGCCGAUUGGCUGAGGAGGCGGGUCUCCCGGGGUCGGCUGUAGGGAAGUGGUCGGGGGUAGGGAAUGCGGUGCAGGUCGUGUGGGCGGUUGGGACGCAGAAUUUACUCGACGAAUGUGGGAGAAAGAGGCGGAGCGUGCGUCGUACGUUCUUGGAAAGAUGGGAGCGCAGAGACGUAGGGACGCCAAAAGUGGAAGGAAACGUUACACGGCCCAUGGCGCCUUCAGCUGAGGAGACUGAGAGGACAGGGGCUGGUGGGGCGGAAUUAGCAGCCAGAGGGCGGAGCUUGCGCAGACCUGAGAAAAGACUCACAGAAGCUGAGUGAUUUGUCAAAGUGACAAAGCUUAAAGUGGCGGAGAAUGUUGGUUCAAGGUAUUCCUUGCUCUUCAUGAAAGCUGUCAUGGGCCUGGGUACACUGGACAUGUCUUUUCAUCCUGCCUGCAUUCCUUGAGGUUAAGGCUGCCUUAUACAGCUGGAAUCCCCCUUGGUGCAUGAAGCCAUCUGCUAUAGUGGACACAUUACAGUGUUGUUGGUGGAUUGUUCAUAUGGGCAAAUCCUUGCCACCUUUCCCUCAAGACCUGUCUCUCCUUCCCAAACCAAGGAAAAAAAAUUCCCCAAAUAAAAACUAAGCUGACUUGACAUGCAGAGGAAGGGUAAUUUAUUUAAUGCGUUGACUCUGGCUUACAAUUUUGUCUUCUGUUUCCAUAUCUGGGUCAUUAGAACCCCCUUCAAUCCCACCACAUUCCUUUUCCCUUCAAAUCAGGGCAA